rnacentral:tRNA from 2 species
UGGAGAAUUAGCUCAGCUGGGAGAGCAUCUGCCUUACAAGCAGAGGGUCGGCGGUUCGAUCCCGUCAUUCUCCAU